ensembl:lncRNA
AGGCUCAUGUUGUUUUCAUGCUUGUUAACAGGACAUCCACUCGGCAGCCCACGGAUCAAGGGGUAAUUGCAACUUUCCAGUCUUAUGAUUUAAGGAGUAGAUGCCACAGAAAGUGCUUCCUCUGAUGGAUCUGAGCAAGGUCAAUCGCCCAGAAAGGAUUCACCAUCUUGGAAGCCAUGAACAUCGGUGAUUCAUGGCAAGAGGUCAAAAUAUCAAGGUUACUAGGAGUUUGGAAGAAGCUGAUUCCUCAGAAAUGGAGCAGGACCCUGUGGUCAUUGCUCCCUGACCAUAUCCUCUGCAUGCCUUUGGUCUGUGGAAACUUUAAAGAACAAGAUUUAUCAGAGAAGUGAGAAAUGCUGAGACAGAAGGAAAUAGCCAAAGGAGACCAAAUAAUAAGAAUGUGGUCAUUAAGCACAGUCACGGACCUUUCGUUCCUUCUCAAGGGCUGCGGAUGAUAUUCUGAGCCAUAUCCUGUGAGCCGUCUUGUAGAUACUAGAACACCAGGUGGAGAAGUGAACUGCAUGAUGGCCAGACUGUACUUCAGCUGCCACAGUUCCGAGAAUUGGCUGCAAAGAAAGGGGAACAAGUGCACCCCGGAACUGAAGAUUAACUGCACCUAAAACAACCAAGGUGAUGCUGGUCAGACCACUGAGGACCAAUUUGCAGACGACUGUUAGAGAUGACUGUGCUGUUUCUGCAUGUAACCUGCCCCCCCCCACCCCAAUACUCUGUCUAUAAAAGCACCCACUGUCAGGGGCAGGGGAGAAGCUGGACUUUGGACAGGUGUCCACACCCUCCACCCCCAGUUGCCAGCGUCUGAAAUAAAGCAAACUUCCCUUUCCACCAGCCUGGCCUCUUUGUUGGCUUUUGAGUGGUGAGCAGCUGGACCCCACGCUCAUGGGUGACUGAACGGUUCAAGACCUCAGUGGAGGCAGCAACUGCAAAAGUGGUGGGAAACGCCAGAGACCUAGCAUUAGAAGUGGAGCCUGAAGAGGUGACUGAAUUACUGCAAUCUCAGGAUAAAACUGGGACAGAUGAAACGUUGUUUCUUACGAAUCAGCACAUAGACUACUGCAGUUAUUUUUAAUUCCAUGCCUGCUUAGAGCUGAUGAGACAGACAAGUUAACAGAUGACUGCAAGUCAGACAAGGGCCAACUGGACCCAUCAGAAGUACUCUUGAGGUGGCUGAAGAAGUAG